GUCAGGCCUCCAUGAACUGAAUACUUAUUCUCCCAUUUUCCAAGUUACUUCAAAUUAAAAGAAAGAAAGAAAAGAAGAUGCUUUUCCAUUGCAUGAAUGCUUAAAUUAUCAUCCAAUCACUGUCUUACUCGGCUUCCUCUUCAAUGAAGGUUCUGACAUGAGUCUUGGACUUCUGUUUACCUGAAUGCAGUAAACAGAAAAUACUAUUGCAUCUGUGAUUGAGAUUAAAAAGGCUUACUAUCUCAAGGUAAGAUUGAUCCUCAAAAUCUAUUGCAUUAUCUUAUUUAUAUGGAUUAUUUAUUUAUUUUUACUUUUGAUAACUGUGUUGAUUUGGGUAGCUUGGCAUGUUUGUGUUGUUAGUUCGUUCAUCGAAAUGGAGUGUAGAGUUGUAGAAUUUCAUUUGCAUUGUUUAGCUUGUCCUGUACAGUGAUUUUUGGAAAUUUUAGCCUGUAAUAUAUGUUUUAUGAUCUGUUACAAAUACACAUUUUCUUAUCAGCUUUUUGCGGCUUCUCAUUGAAAAACUGUGCCUACCUGCCUAUUACUUGGUAGAUUGUGAUCCUUAUGGUUUUGACAUUCUGAAAAUCUAAAGCGACUGGAAAUAUAAAGUGAACAAAGCCCCAUAAUAAUCUGCAUCCAAAUCACUUGAUUGAGAGAAACUCAAACAAGAUUGAUAACAGCGCACAUCUAAUUCUUUAGUUUUAGAUAGUCUUUUCCUUAAUUUUAUCACCAGAUAUGCCAUCUGAAUUCAUUAGAGGCGUUUAUAAAUUUGAAAGUUUCCACGUCUCUGGACUUUCUACUGUCUUCAUCUUAGCUUUCAUUAGUUAUUAGGAAUUUAGGAGGAAGAUGUUAUGUUCUAUUUUUGUGAUCUACCAUGGGCUCAUGCACAAUCUUCUUUCUGGCAGGUAUUGGUGGGUGUAAAGUUUCAUGUUUCUCUUUGUGAUUAAUGAAUUUUGGUUGAGGUUCUGCAAAUAUGUUUUUCUUUUGUGCUGGUUUAAUUAAUGACGGCUAGAGGAGGUAUGGAUCAUUAGGCUUCAUGGUACAUGUCUGUAAUUGAUCUAUGAUGAACUGAUCAAAGCAAAGUCACCUUCUUUGCAGAUAUGCUGGAUUAAAAAGACACUUUCUAAUCGAUACACAUUUUUCACAGGAUGGAGAUAAAUCUCCUGAUCCCAAUGUGGAAAAUACAUCAUCUCAAAAUCCAAGUAAUUUUAGUUUCUAUCUUUAAACUUUCAUAUGAAAUUGAUGAUGGGUUUGGAUUUUUGUUUGCCUUCAUACAAAUUUUCUCUCAUGCGUUUGGAUUUUUAUUUGCCUUUAUACCAAAUUUCUCUCACACUUUCUCCAAAAUUUGCCGUGUUCACUGUUAGCUCAUUCAUUUCUUGCAGUCCACUUUUGGGGGCGUAAAACAAUGUAAGAACAUUAAAUUGGCUCCAAUUGCAAAGCUAAUAAAUUUAUUUUUCAACCAGCCUAACAUCAUGUAAUUCUAAUACUAUUUGAAUGACUUAGAACCAUUUGGUUCUUUGGUGGAAAGGUUUUAGCCCUUUAUGCUGGUGAAAUUGGUGGGAGCUGCUUUGGUGGUUUUGUUCAUCUUUUCUGGUACAAAAGUGGAAGCAGAUGGGUCAAAUCACAAGUAUAAGGAGAGAGAUCAUGUCCCUUUGUAUGCAAACAAAGUGGGUCUUUUUCACAAUCCAAGCCGGCCUUAAAUGUAAGGGAGAAGAUAUUGAUUCUCAUAGAUACAUGGCAAGCUGCUUUUGGGGGAGCCAGAGGGAAGUAUCCCCAGUACUACACUGCAUAUAAUGAAUUGAAGGUUGAUGGCAAGAAGAAUCUUUGCCAUUAAGCGUUGAUCUGUUUCGGGGUGCCACAUGGUUGGACUAUUUCAGUGCUUGGAGUAUUGGAAUUUGAUGGUAAUGAUUUUGUUAGCUGAGCUUCUGAAAAACCCGGAAAUAGCAGUUGGUGCUGCCACCAUUUGAAUUUCGGAAGUUUCUUCUUCAAAUGGUUGGAAUAUCUUAGAAGAGAGAUUCCCUGCUUUCCAGUGGUAUGAUGCCUAGAAGACAUCGAAAGCCUUUCAAGAAUCCCUUCUUUUGAUAUUUUUGCUUAUAACGUGGAGUUGUCAGGGAGAUUUUGCAUAUGAAAUCUGAUACGUUCAGUAUUCAUCAGUCUCUUCUUAUUUUGGAUUAUGCACAGAGGUUCGAGAAUGGUAGUUUGGUGGGCUCAGCACCAACUAUCCAGUAAGCUGGGAACGACGUCUUCUAUACUGCAUUCCAGUAAGCUGUUAAAAUUUUUGUUAAAUAGGAAAAGUUGAAAUCUAGAAUGUAAACCUUAAUAGGCUGCUGCUACUCAUUAACUGCACAUGGCAAGGAUAUAAUCCAAAUAGUCACUCUAGCCUGUUUAAAUCAUUCCUGUAUUUGUUUCCUAUUUUUUAAAAUGGAUUUAGCAAGAUGCAUGCCAAGUCCUACUACCCACCCAAUCAAAUACCAUAUUUGAUUUCUAUAUUCAAUGAAUUCCCUGCUUUGAAUUACUUGCAUACUUGUGUACAAUUGAUCGUUCCCUGGUUUGAACAUGUAUGAUCAAUUGUUCCUUGCUUUGAAUAUGUAUAAUCGAUCGUUCCCUUCUUUGAAUAUGUACAUUUACUCCAAUGGAUGCAUCAUUAUAUAUUUAGAGAAAGCAACCUAUAAGAUCCGAAGAAGAAAAUGAUCCCAUGUUUUAAGGAACCUCAAUCAUGACAUUACCUGAUUAAUGAUAUCUGAUAACUACGACAUGAUUUCAUGUCGCCAUCUACUACAUUGGUUGACUAAAGAAGAAUGGACUGAUAUUUGACUCUAAUAUUGGCUAAAGGCCUUUUUAAGUUUCAUCUAGGUAAUGUUAUAGUUCACCUAAUCUAUAAUUCAAAGCAAAUCUUUUUCUUUCUUUAUUUGUUUCUUCUUCUUCUUCUUUUUUCUUUUAGAUGAUUACAGGCAUGACUAAAAGAUAUUGGAAUUGUUUGUUAUAGGUAUAGGUCAGGUCAUAAAGGGCUGGGAUGUCCCAUGUUUCUGCAGCGGGAGAAAGUGACUCUGCAGAGAAUGACUCAUGUGAUUCUCCUCUUGAACCAAACAGUCCUCUAUGUGGGCAUUCAGACAAAUUAGAUGGUGAAGGGUAUGCUACUAGCAUCUAAUUUUUAUACUUUUUAUAUUGCUUGAGAACUUCGAAUGCUAGAUUCUUGCUCUUUUUUGUGUUUUUCAUUAUCAUGGUUUUCAACAAGUAUCCUGCUACUGAGAAAUUAGCUAAUGGCCUAGAGAGAAGCUGAUAUGCACUGGGUCUAC